rnacentral:rRNA from 1 species
UGAGACAUGAAUCCAGCCCUACGGGGCGCAGCAGGCGCGAAAACUUUACAAUGCAGGAAACUGUGAUAAGGGAACACCGAGUGCUCGCAUCAAAUGCGGGCUGUCCACAUACCUAAAUCGUAUGUGUUAGCAAGGGCCGGGCAAGACCGGUGCCAGCCGCCGCGGUAAUACCGGUGGCCCGAGUGGUAGCCGCUUUUAUUGGGUCUAAAGGGUCCGUAGCCUGUCUGAUCAGUCCAUUGGGAAAUCCGGAUGCUCAACAUCCGGGCUUCCAGUGGAUACUGUCAGACUUGGGAUCGGGGGAGGUAAGAGGUACUACAGGGGUAGGAGUGAAAUCUUGUAAUCCUUGUGGGACCACCUGUGGCGAAGGCGUCUUACCAAAACGAGUCCGACGGUGAGGGACGAAAGCUGGGGGCACGAACCGGAUUAGAUACCCGGGUAGUCCCAGCCGUAAACGAUGCUCGCUAGGUGUCAGGCAUGGCGUGACUGUGUCUGGUGCCGAAGGGAAGCCGCGAAGCGAGCCACCUGGGAAGUACGGCCGCAAGGCUGAAACUUAAAGGAAUUGGCGGGGGAG